UAGGGAAUCUUCGGCAAUGGACGAAAGUCUGACCGAGCAACGCCGCGUGAGUGAAGAAGGUUUUCGGAUCGUAAAACUCUGUUGUUAGAGAAGAACAAGGACGUUAGUAACUGAACGUCCCCUGACGGUAUCUAACCAGAAAGCCACGGCUAACUACGUGCCAGCAGCCGCGGUAAUACGUAGGUGGCAAGCGUUGUCCGGAUGUAUUGGGCGUAAAGCGAGCGCAGGCGGUUUCUUAAGUCUGAUGUGAAAGCCCCCGGCUCAACCGGGGAGGGUCAUUGGAGACUGGGGGAAUUGAGUGCAGAAGAGGGGAGUGGAAUUCCAUGUGUAGCGGUGAAAUGCGUGGAUAUAUGGAGGAACACCAGUGGCGAAGGCGGCUCGCUGGUCGGUAACUGCCGCUGAGGCUCGAAAGCGUGGGGAGCAAACAGG
rnacentral:rRNA from 1 species